UCCCUGGUAGAUUAACUACCCAGAAGACCCCCGGAAGACUACCGGGUUGAUAGGCAGAGUGUGUAAGCACAGUAAUGUGUUCAGCUAAUCUGUACUAAUCGGUCGUGAGGCUUGGCCGU
rnacentral:rRNA from 1 species